rnacentral:rRNA from 1 species
AUACGUAGGGGGCGAGCGUUGUCCGGAAUGAUUGGGCGUAAAGGGCGCGUAGGCGGCCCGGUAAGUCUGGAGUGAAAGUCCUGUUUUUAAGAUGGGAAUUGCUUUGGAUACUGUCGGGCUUGAGUGCAGGAGAGGUAAGUGGAAUUCCCAGUGUAGCGGUGAAAUGCGUAGAGAUUGGGAGGAACACCAGUGGCGAAGGCGACUUACUGGACUGUAACUGACGCUGAGGCGCGAAAGCGUGGGGAGCAAACAGGAUUAGAUACCCUGGUAGUCCACACUGUAAACGAUGAAUGCUAGGUGUAAGAGGUAUCGACCCCUUUUGUGCCGGAGUCAACACAAUAAGCAUUCCGCCUGGGGAGUACGGCCGCAAGGUUGAAACUCAAAUGAAUUGACGGGG